rnacentral:tRNA from 2 species
GCCCGGAUGGUGAAACUGGUAGACACAAGGGACUUAAAAUCCCUCGGCGCAAGCUGUGCCGGUUCGAUUCCGGCUCCGGGCACCA